rnacentral:tRNA from 1 species
GAGAGAGAAGCAUAUUGGUUAUGUAAUUAGCUUGAAACUAGUAGAAGGUGGUUCGAUUCCCCCCUCUCUCG